rnacentral:rRNA from 1 species
UGUAGGUGAACUUGCAGAAGGAUCAUUA